AUGUUUCCUGAUGGACUUUGGUAAACCAAUAAUAUUUGUUGAACCUGUUUGUGUUAUAUGCCGUGAGUCACAUGUUCCCUAAUUGAUUUAGUGGAUGUUUACCCAUAUUUCUUCAGCUUUCCUUCGAAAUAAGCAGUGCCAAGUAAGCAACGAAAAGGGCUACUAACUGAGUUUACCAGGUUUCCUACUCUAUCGGUGAUAUGUUACGACCCAAGCCUAAAUGUGCAAUGCUAGGGUUAUCCGUUUAGAUCUUAUAAAUUUUACAUUCUGCUGUGAGCAAUGCUUGUCAAAUACUUUCUCUUGUUCAUAUUCUUAUGUGAGCAAUGCUACUAUUAACUACGAGCAAUGCAUACCACUUGUGUUGUAAUAUAUCUGAACUCGUUGUAUACGUGCAGUAAGAGGAGGUUACAGAUCUUAAAAUGAUGAUACUAUUAGUUGGAAUUUGACUCUGCAUGCACCGGCUAGAAUGGAAUAGGAUUAGCAAAUGAAGUAACUGCUCUCCUUGUUUGAUCAAGGUAAAGAUCACUACUUCUUUGCCAUCAUGAUGAAAUGCGCGAAUAUUUCCAGGUUGCUUAUCCAUAUGUUUUGCAUAUAUAAUGAAACUAGUAAGCAAAAAGGAUAAUGUUGGUUCUCUGAUUGUGAUAAUUUGGACAUGACUCAGGCUCUUAUUAUUUGGCUACAGAGAUCUGGUUAGCACUAUCCUAAAGAAUUAUUUCUGUUAGUCGAAGAUUCUUAAAAAAACGCUGGGUUGAUAUAUAAUGCUGCUUUAGUUGAUAGCUGUGCAAAUAUGGAAGUUAUAUAUGAUGCUGUUUUGCUUGAUAGCUGUGCAAAUAUCCAUGGCAUUUUAUCAGUACAUGUUGAUACAGGUAAAUAGUAUAAGCAACAGAUUUUAGACUAUGAACACCUGAUAAUUAUUUUCUGUUUUACAUUUUAAUAGCUAGACAAGAAUAGGAAUAUGCUGUGCAGUUGGAUAAUUUGUUCUAUUUUCUCACUGCAGGCCGCGAGAGAUAUUUUCACGAGAAUAUCUUUCACAUUCAACCAUUGUGCAAGUCCUGUCUUGCUUAAGGGACAUGAGGAUGUCUUGAUUGCUGGCUGUAUGGAAGCACAUCCACACAUGUAACUCAGUCAUGUGGGAUACAUAUAUAUUGUGUCGGAAUCUGAUGAGUGUGUGCGUGUUGAUGGAUUUUCUUAGUAGAUGCAUUAGAAGCCAUUAAUUCUGGAUUCGAAAAAUCAUCCAAGUCAUGAUGGAGUAUUGGCAGCUUCUGGAGCUUAUUCUGCAAGAUUACUUUGUAGAAAAGUUUCCUUUCAUAUCAAGUGGUUUUUAAGUAGUAAGAGGAGGUUACAGAUCUUAAAAUGAUGAUACUAUUAGUUGGAAUUUGACUCUGCAUGCACCGGCUAGAAUGGAAUAGGAUUAGCAAAUGAAGUAACUGCUCUCCUUGUUUGAUCAAGG